rnacentral:tRNA from 1 species
UUUAAAUAGUUUAAGUAAAAUAUUAAUUUGUGAUAUUAAAGAUAUAUUAUAUAAAUAUUUUAAAUAA